CAAUGUAGCCAAUUCCCCAGUCGCUAUGAGCAGUUUUCACACGAUGACGUUCCCCUUCCCCUGUCCCUUCUAUUUCGCAAUUGCGGCGGCGGCGGCAGGGAUGGCACCGGAGGAAUGACCCAAUUGCGAUGGCUACUUCUCUCGAGCGUGGUGUACUUCCCUUUCCCGCGAACCGGAGGCGACGUGGGCGGUGCAACGAUCGGGGCGAGCUCGGCGGCGCCAGCGGCCUUCUAUGGCAUCCGUCUCCACCCUCGGCGUCUUAUCGCUUUGCAGGGGAAGGGGAAGAAACUAGGGAAGAAAAGGAAAAAAAAGAGGAGUUUAGGGAGUGAUGGAAGUGAUGCUGGAGACAGGCACCUGACAGUGAGAUGAUGGAGGUGGAGAAGAAGGCCUAGCCGAUGACAUAGAAGAAGAGGAGAGCUCAAUGCUACGGAGCAAAAGGAACAACGGUAGAGUAUCAGACUUUGAUUCAGCUGAGACAUUUUAGUUUUUUCGCAAGACAUGUGAAUCCUCUCUGCGUUUCUGCUUUUGUUUAGAAUUCACGAAUUUUCUUCCUUGUAGCUAUAAAUGAUGGUUCCGACUUAAUUGGAUGUUAGUAAUUUUUUUUGCGAAUAAUUGGAUGUUAGUAAUGACGUACAUAAACAAUCAAUCUAUACAGCUGUACCUAGCUGACAAUGCUAUGUCUCUGUUUGGACCUGGCUGACGAUGCUAACUCUCUGUAUAUUUGUAUUAUCGAAAUUUGCACAAACCUACAAGAAAAAUUUCUUCAAUUAAAGAUAAUUCAUUUUAUGAGGAAUUUGUUUUAUAUUUAGUGAAUUUAUUAGGCAAACAAGGAAUUGGAAUUCUGCCAAGAAAUCUAGGAGCAGAAGAAGAUGCAAGACUUGCGGACUAGGCAAAUGUUGUGCAGGCGAGAAAAUGGUAAGUAUGGUGUACUCACGGCAAGACACGAAAGCAUACACACUCACCAUAAGCUGAAUGAACGAAUGCAUCUUGUUAAUUAGUUUUGACUGCUCAAACAUGCACGAUGUCCUCACCAGCUCAAGUUCCAUGACUUCAAGUUCACCUUGAUGUAUUCAGGUAUCGCACAGCCCAUAAAGAACCGCUGGUAAUAUGAUUAAGGCAUGUGAAUAAUCUGUUUUUCUGAAUUUGUUCAUAAGGAAAAUCCUCAAAGUUAGCAGCACAUGUCCAAUUCAAUCUGUUUCCAUUGCACACACAUGUUGUUUUUCAAUUAGCAACGCAAAUUAGUGACCGUGUCAAUGUUAUGUCUCUGUUUUCUUUUGCAAUCUAGAAGGAACUCAAAGAUAGUUCUAUGUUUGCUCACGUGCAUUCUAGUCCAUAAAUUGUUUGGGCAAUACAAGAUAGAAGAAUAUGUACAUGUUUGGUUACAAACUAAAGUUUCUUUUGAUGCUUAUGAAUUAGUUGAAUCCUGAAUUUUGUUGUUAAGAGAAUAGAUAGCUCUCUUCCCGCAAAAGAAAAGGAAGUAGCUAGAGCUCUCCUAUGAAUGUGUAUUGAGAUCUUCUGGCAAUGCUAGGAUUUGGAGGGUUUUUGUUUAAAUUAAGUGUGGAGUUCUUGCUUCUGAUCAUUACAAUUACUUAAGUGUUAAUUUUGUUAUCUUGUGUGUACAAUAUGCUAUUCUCUAUUCAGCUGACUGCAUGACCAAUAUUACUUAUUCAGUAUGUGAGUAACUUAAUUUUCUUGUUUCAUGCAGUUUGGAGCAAUUCGUGAUUACUACCAGUUUCAAAUUAGAUUUAUUUCAAUUGCAAUGAGGUACAAGACUGGCCCUCUUCCUUGAUGUCUUAUCUUGAUUGUUUAUUUGGUUGAACUAGCAUAAACCUAACUUUUAAUGUUGAUGUGUUUCCGCCCAAUUUGUGUAGUAAGCCAUGCUAGUCAUCAAUUAAUCAAUCUCAAUGUUCCCUUAAUAGAUGAUUGCUAUUGAUUUGCUGUGGCUUAGCUAUCGAGGACAAAACAUUUCCCUUUCCCCCUAAUAGUUGUUUAUUUGCUCCUUCUAGGAGGCCUGCAUUUUGCUAAUUGUCUAUUUGCUAGAGAAGUAGUGGCAAUGAACAUUUUGAUUCUGAUGCCUUAUCUGAAUAGCUUCAGAAAUUCUUAACAUGAAAAUACAUAAUAUACUUAUCUGUGUGUGGUUAAUGCUUCGUUGUUUAAAUUUUCUAUUUGUUAAAUGUUGGUUUGCAGAGUAUAUAUUCUUGAUUGAUUAUCCUGAAUCUGAAUUUGGGGAACAUGAUCUAACUACCUUCUAAAUCAGCUGAGUUGUACCGAAUGAUUGUGUGUUUGCUGCUCACACAUUUUAUUCGAAGGGCCAUUAUGACAAGUAAUGGCCACUUAUAGGUUGCUGGUAAUGCAUUUUCACACCAUACAUAUGCUUGUGCUUACCCCCGUUGGGUAGUCAAUAUGAUACCGGUGCACUAAUCAAUGGAUUUCGGUUUGUUUUUUUACAUGAAAAUAAGGUAAGAGUGUUAUGUCAGCUUCAAGUCCCUCGAAACCACAUACUUUUGUUCGUGUUGUUCUAGGUUACCUUCUUUCAUGGUGGCAUAAAUCUGUCUUAUAAAAAAUAGAUGUGGAUGCUUUCCUCGCCAGUUCCAUGUAAUUUUUGUCUAGUUCUGCUGUAAUUUCAGAUGUAUGUGAGUUUUUGAGGUGCAUAGUUCACUAGCAUUACAUAGGUUAGCGUACCUUUGCUCCCGCAUUUGCAUGACACAUGAUUUAUACUUCGAUUGUAUAUGAAUUACUGUUUGUGUAUGCACAUGCUACCGUUUUCACCUCUAAUAUUUUAACUUCCUACUUCAGUGGAUGUGGUAAAGUACAACAAUACUCAAUUAGGCCGUACUGAUUUUUAUGGUCGUCUUUUUAGCUCUUUUUACCAUCUGGCAAAGCAGUAAGAUUAAAGAUGUAAUGGUCGUAACUAUACUUCUCCUCGAAAAGCGAUCUAUGGGAAAAAAUACUUGUCCUCAACUCCUCAAGAAUCUGGAGGAUGUUGUGAGAGAUCUGACCUGGGAUUGUUACUCUCAUACAACCCUAUUCACAUCCAUGUUGUACUUACACUUGCGAGCUACUCACUGGCUCUGCAAUUUGAAUGAAACAGUUCUCAUUUUCAGUCAUUUUUUCUGGGUAUUCCACACGGGAAGAAAAUCACAUUAGGCAUGCAUACAAUUGUCAAUUUUUACAGGCUGAAAUUUUUGAAUAAUUGUCAAUUAGUUUUCAGCCGAUUGCUUGUCAAUCUUCGCAGAUUUCCAGUUUAACCCGCCCUCAAUCCAGGAGUAAUCUUGUAUAACAUUCAGUUACAAGACACAAACUAGUUAAAUAUGAUGACCCCCACCAUUAUAUCUGGCACACUGAUAAAAUACAUGGUUUAGUGUGCAUUGAAACAAUAGUUACGGAGUUUGCCUAUUUAUCUUGUUUCUCACUAUACUUUUGAUUCAUAGCGUGUUAUAGGUUCAUGUCAUUCCGAACAGUUUGGUACACCUAAUAUCCCUCUGAGAUAUCUAUGCUUUCAACAUUGUGUCCAGUUUAGGGUAGUGAAGCAUAUUAAUCCUAAAGUGUUAUAUGCGCUUGUGUGUUGGGGGCCUCUAUCUGUUUGUUAGUAUACUUCUGAGAACUGAUAAUAUUCUGCUUUUCAGGUAUCUGUUCAAGUGGAUGACAAUAAAUGUAUGAGGGUAGAGAGUAAUGUCUUCUUAUUUAUGGUGGGUAUGAGUAACAUUAAAUUGAAAUUUCAGACCUUUUACUAAUCCCUCCAUCCCAUAGUAUAAGACGUUUUUGCAAACUAAACAUAGCUUGCAAAAACGUCUUAUAUUGCGGGACGGAGGGAGUAGUAACCAGUAGAAAAAAUCAGGUUUUGGGGAGAAGAAAAGUGAACCUAAUUGCUCCAAUACUAUUAAUAGCACAAUACCAUGUUGCAUUCAGUGUUUCAGUCCUGGAGGCAUUGCUGAACAGAUGAAGUUGGUGGAAAACCUAUGGUCACCUAAAAAUUAAGCUGCUUGAAGAUCAAGUUCAGAAGUACUAUAGUCAGUUUUCAAGUUUGGUAGUAUUCACUUUUGUAAUAGUGAUUUCUGAAUAUUUCAUGCUACUAGUUACUUAGUGCUAAGUGGCAUUCAGUUGUUUUCAAACAAAUUUUAUUUCUACUUGUAAUGAUGGUUUUUGUUACGUGGGGUAUUUCCCCGAACCACUACAUGGAAUCUA